rnacentral:rRNA from 1 species
UACGGAGGGGGCUAGCGUUGUUCGGAAUUACUGGGCGUAAAGCGCACGUAGGCGGCUUUGUAAGUUAGAGGUGAAAGCCCAGGGCUCAACCCUGGAAUUGCCUUUAAGACUGCAUCGCUUGAACAUCGGAGAGGUAAGUGGAAUUCCGAGUGUAGAGGUGAAAUUCAUAGAUAUUCGGAAGAACACCAGUGGCGAAGGCGACUUACUGGACGAUUGUUGACGCUGAGGUGCGAAAGCGUGGGGAGCAAACAGG